rnacentral:tRNA from 4 species
CGGGUUGUGGCGCAGCUUGGUAGCGCACCUCACUGGGGGUGAGGGGGUCGCAGGUUCAAAUCCUGUCAACCCGA